rnacentral:rRNA from 1 species
UACGUAGGGUCCGAGCGUUAUCCGGAAUCAUUGGGCGUAAAGAGCUCGUAGGCGGUCUGUCGCGUCGAUCGUGAAAACUUGGGGCUUAACCUUGAGCUUGCGGUCGAUACGGGCAUGACUGGAGUUCGGCAGGGGAGACUGGAAUUCCUGGUGUAGCGGUGAAAUGCGCAGAUAUCAGGAGGAACACCGGUGGCGAAGGCGGGUCUCUGGGCCGAUACUGACGCUGAGGAGCGAAAGCGUGGGGAGCGAACAGG